rfam:Thioploca ingrica DNA, complete genome.
GUUAACUACCCCGCCCUCAAGGGCGGAGCUUGCAGAAGCUCGGUUGACCAGACUCAGUGCCGUUACGGGUACUACGCUGACCAGAGGUCGUUAAGACUUACCAGUGGAUGCUUCCUGAGUCCACUGCUCUAAUCAGAAUCACGUUGGGGAAAAGAUAAAGCCCCGAAGGUUCUGACCGUCAUGGGUCACUGUGAGAGCCGCUUAUCAGCCUUGUCGAAGGGAGAUGGC